GUUUUCCCCCUUAGCACCUGAACGCGCCCGAUCUCGUCUGAUCUCGGAAGCUAGGCAGGGCCGGGCCUGGUUAGUACUUGGAUGGAAGUU
rnacentral:rRNA from 1 species